rnacentral:rRNA from 1 species
GUGAACGCUAGCGGUGCGCCUAACACAUGCAAGUCGAGCGGUAGAAUUUCUAGCUUGCUAGAAAUUUGAGAGCGGCGAACGGGUGAGUAACACGUUGGUAUCUGCCCCCAAGUCAGGGAUAGCCAUUGGAAACGAUGAUUAAUACCGGAUAGUCUCUUCGGAGUAAAAAUUUAUUGCUUGGGGAGGAACCUGCGGUCUAUCAGCUAGUUGGUGAGGUAAUAGCUCACCAAGGCUAUGACGGAUAUCUGGUCUGAGAGGAUGACCAGACACAAUGGAACUGAGACACGGUCCAUACUCCUACGGGAGGCAGCAGUGAGGAAUCUUCCACAAUGGACGAAAGUCUGAUGGAGCGACACCGCGUGAAGGAUGAAGGCCUAACGGUUGUAAACUUCUUUUCUGAAGGAGCAUAAUGAGAGUACUUCAGGAAUAAGGGACGGCUAAAUACGUGCCAGCAGCCGCGGUAAUACGUAUGUCUCAAGCGUUACCCGGAAUCACUGGGUGUAAAGGGUUCGUAGGCGGUUUAAUAAGUUGGAUAUGAAAGACCGGAGCUCAACUCCGUGUAUGUGUCCAAAACUGUUAAACUAGAAUCAGGGAGAGGUAAGCGGAAUUCUAAGUGUAGGGGUGCAAUCCGUAGAUACUUAGAAGAACACCAAAAGCGAAAGGCAGCUUACUGGAACUGUAUUGACGUUCAUGAACGAAAGCGUGGGUAGCGAAAAGGAUUAGAUACCCUUGUAGUCCACGCCCUAAACGAUGAUAACUAAGUGUUGUGACUUGCUCGCAGUGCUGAAGCUAACGCGUUAAGUUAUCCACCUGAGGAGUACGGUCGCAAGAUUAAAACUCAAAGGAAUAGACGGGGACCCACACAAGCAGUGGAUCACGUGGUUUAAUUCGACAAUAAACGGGGAACCUUACCCAGACUUGACAUCUACCGAAUUUUCUAGAGAUAGAAAAGUGCUUUUAUUAGAGCGGUAAGACAGGUGCUGCAUGGUUGUCGUCAGCUCGUGCCUUGAGGUGUUCGGUUAAGUCCGUUAACGAGCGCAACCCAUGUCUUUAGUUAUUAUGUCUAAAGAGACUGCCUUGGUUAACAAGGAGGAAGGUGUGGAUGACGUCAAAUCAGCAUGGCUUUUACGUCUGGGGCUACACACAUGAUACAAUGGUAUGUACAAAGAGCAACAAUAUGGCGACAUGGAGUUAAUCUUUAAAGCAUAUCUCAGUCCGGAUUGAAGUCUGAAACUCGACUUCAUGAAGUUGGAAUUGCUAGUAAUCGUGAAUCAGAUAUGUCACGGUGAAUAUGUUCCUGGGUCUUGUACUCACCGCC